rnacentral:rRNA from 1 species
UACGAAGGGUGCAAGCGUUACUCGGAAUUACUGGGCGUAAAGCGUGCGCAGGCGGCUUUGCAAGACAGAUGUGAAAUCCCCGGGCUCAACCUGGGAACUGCAUUUGUGACUGCAUGGCUGGAGUGCGGCAGAGGGGGAUGGAAUUCCGCGUGUAGCAGUGAAAUGCGUAGAUAUGCGGAGGAACACCGAUGGCGAAGGCAAUCCCCUGGGCCUGCACUGACGCUCAUGCACGAAAGCGUGGGGAGCAAACAGG